GACAGAAAGUGCAGGCGUUAUUCGGAUUGACUGGGCGUUAAGGGUAUGUAGGCGGCUGAAUGUAACUAAGUGAGAAAGGCUCAGGGUAACAGCUGAGAAGAUUGCUUAAAGAUUAUUAAGCUUGAGUUUAAGUUGAGUUGAGAGAAUUAGCGAAGUAAUGGAGUUAAAUCCUGCGAUAUUGCCAGGAAGACCAAUAGCGAAAGCACUUUUCUAAUUUAAACUGACGCUGAGGUACGAAAGGUUGGGGAUCAAAGCGG
rnacentral:rRNA from 1 species